UUUCCGUAGGUGAACCUGCGGAAGGAUCAUUACAGUAGUCGCCUGGGUUGCCGCAAGGCCUCCCGGGUAACCUACCACCCUUUGUUUAUUACACUUUGUUUCUUUGGCAGGCCUGCCCUCGGGCUGCUGGCUCCGGCCGGCGAGCGCUUGCCAGAGGACCUAAACUCUGUUUUUCUAUACUGUCUGAGUACUAUAUAAUAGUUAAAACUUGCAACAACGGAUCUCUUGGUUCUG
rnacentral:misc_RNA from 1 species